CCUACGGGAGGCAGCAGUGGGGAAUUUUGGACAAUGGGCGAAAGCCUGAUCCAGCGACGCCGCGUGUGCGAUGAAGGCCUUUGGGUCGUAAAGCACUGUCAACAGGGACGAAAACUCGGCGAUUAAUACCCGCCGGGCUUGACUGUACCUGUGGAGGAAGCACCGGCUAACUCUGUGCCAGCAGCCGCGGUAAUACAGAGGGUGCAAACGUUGCUCGGAAUUACUGGGCGUAAAGCGCGUGUAGGCGGUCCGCUAAGUUGGUAGUGAAAUCCCAUGGCUCAACCAUGGAAGUGCUGCCAAAACUGGCGGGCUGGAGUGUCGGAGAGGGUGGCGGAAUUCCCAGUGUAGAGGUGAAAUUCGUAGAUAUUGGGAGGAACACCGGUGGCGAAGGCGGCCACCUGGACGAUAACUGACGCUGAGACGCGAAAGCGUGGGGAGCA
rnacentral:rRNA from 1 species